AUUGAACGCUGGCGGCAGGCCUAACACAUGCAAGUCGAGCGGAUGAAGGGAGCUUGCUCCUGGAUUCAGCGGCGGACGGGUGAGUAAUGCCUAGGAAUCUGCCUGGUAGUGGGGGAUAACGUCCGGAAACGGGCGCUAAUACCGCAUACGUCCUGAGGGAGAAAGUGGGGGAUCUUCGGACCUCACGCUAUCAGAUGAGCCUAGGUCGGAUUAGCUAGUUGGUGGGGUAAAGGCCUACCAAGGCGACGAUCCGUAACUGGUCUGAGAGGAUGAUCAGUCACACUGGAACUGAGACACGGACCAGGCUCCUACGGGAGGCAGCAGUGGGGAAUAUUGGACAGUGGGCGAAAGCCUGGUCCAGCCAUGCCGCGUGUGUGAAGAAGGUCUUCGGAUUGUAAAGCACUUUAAGUUGGGAGGAAGGGCAGUAAGUUAAUACCUUGCUGUUUUGACGUUACCAACAGAAUAAGCACCGGCUAACUUCGUG
rnacentral:rRNA from 1 species